CUACGGGGUGCAGCAGUGGGGAAUAUUGGACAAUGGGCGAAAGCCUGAUCCAGCAAUGCCGCGUGAGUGAUGAAGGCCUUAGGGUUGUAAAGCUCUUUUACCCGGGAUGAUAAUGACAGUACCGGGAGAAUAAGCUCCGGCUAACUCCGUGCCAGCAGCCGCGGUAAUACGGAGGGAGCUAGCGUUGUUCGGAAUUACUGGGCGUAAAGCGCACGUAGGCGGCUUUGUAAGUUAGAGGUGAAAGCCUGGAGCUCAACUCCAGAACUGCCUUUAAGACUGCAUCGCUUGAAUCCAGGAGAGGUGAGUGGAAUUCCGAGUGUAGAGGUGAAAUUCGUAGAUAUUCGGAAGAACACCAGUGGCGAAGGCGGCUCACUGGACUGGUAUUGACGCUGAGGUGCGAAAGCGUGGGGAGCAAACAGGAUUAGAUACCCGCGUAGUC
rnacentral:rRNA from 1 species